rnacentral:misc_RNA from 1 species
GAUACUUUCUCCUUGAAACUUGGAUCUCUUGCUUCUUUCCUCAAUAACAAUACCUCAAAUGCAUCAAGAGCAUUUCACAGUAUUUUUCCUGGAUAAUAUUUUUCGUCUAAACAUUGAAAACCCACUAGUAAAAUUUACAUCCAUGAAAUGCACACACAACAAACUCUAAAUGAAGCACCAACCACUCUGCAACCUAAUAAAUAAGACGAUGAAUAACAAUUCGUUACAGGGAUGAAUGUUACAGUUUCUUCACUUCAUCUUCAACAGGAUCGCGAAGAGUUCCAAACAUCCAGUCCAUCCAUAUUGUGUAGUGACCAUAAUUAUGGCGGUACGUAGUAUGGUGGAUGGUAUGGUAACCGGCACCCAUUACAGGCCAAACCUUCGCAUGUAUACAGUCAUGAAUAUUUGCAGUCCAUAUGGCUUCUAUGAAUAAGAGAGCAAUGUGUGUGGUGAAAUGCACAGGCAACAGAAAAAGAGCUAUUACGUGUGGCACUGCCUGUAGUAUUCCAUCCAAUGGGUGGAAUGCCAAACCAGCAAAUGGGGAGAGUGUAUUUUGCUUGUUGUAUAUAUGAUGUGUAGCAUGGAGAUAUUUGUACAGAGGUUUUAUGUCAUGCAACUCUCGAUGCAUCCAAUAGAUACCAAAUUCUACUAUUACCAGAUAAACUGCAACAUAGAUAAGGUAGGGUAUCCAUCCGACAUCGCUUAUUCUUGAGAAACAUUUAGUCCACCCAUUUUCAAUCAUGUACUCAGAA